UGCCUUGAUUUUUUUGCGUUUUGGGUUUAAUUUAUUUGGUAGAAUAAUUGAUUGAAUUCAGGAAAGAAAUAUUCAUGAUUGUGUAUGAAGUAUGAAAUUAUCUGUUUUCUGAAUGAUAAUUAAGAUAAAUGAGGAGUUGUUCCAUUGUUCUUUAUGAAUUUAGUUGGUUAAGGUGGGUUCAGGUUAGGGUUAGGGUAGGUUGAGGUGGUGGAUCUGGUGGAUUAAGGUGGGUUUAGGGUGGGUUAAGGUGGUGGAUCUGGUGGGUUAGGGUGGUCGGUCUGGUGUGUGGGUUUGGGUUAGGGACUUAUAGUGGGUUAUGGUGGUCGGUCUGGUGUGUGGGUUCGGGUAGGGGUGGGUUGAGGUUGUGUGUUUGGGUUUAGGUGGUGCAUGUGGUUGGUUAGGCGUGGUGGCUGUGGGGGCUACCAACGGUCAACUUUAUAUUGACUGUAAUUUGUUUGGACAAUUAGGUUAUUUACUUGUUGAAAUUGGCUUCGUAAACAUCGAUUGAUUAAGCUAUAUGAAUGUGUUAAAUUGACUGUGGGUAUAUUAAUUAAUGUCUUCAUUUGGUUGAUUUUUUUCUAUCUAUUUUUCCUGUUAAUCAAAAUCUCCAUUCCUUGCCCUGUUCUGCCGCGACCUUGAAUAUCUAAAUCGUGAGGUAUUGUCACACUGUCCUUGAAAAGGGUCCAGAAGCUGAGUUUUUUGAAGAGCUGGGUCCUAAAGCAAUGGUUGCUUCUGAAUCUUCUCCUGCUGAUUAUUAUUGAUGAGAAUAUCAGAAAUGGGUGAAAUAAUGGAUAUUGAAGAAUCAGAAAUUGAAAAGCUUCCAACUGAUCUUUUGUCUCAUAUAUUCCUCCUUUUCUCUUCUUUCACUGAUUUAGCUCAGGCAAGUUGUGUGUGUAAGAAAUGGAGGGAAGGGGUGAAGCAAUCAAUGGGAAGGAGGCAAAGUUUGAGCUUUUCUGGAUGUAAAAUGGAUGAUGCCUCUACUUCUUGCCUUGUUCAUCUUGCCUUCUCUCUCAAGGAACUUGACAUGUAUGACCAGUUUUUAAUUUCUUUAUUAUUUCAUGCUUAAAAUUCGUAUUAUUUUAUUUAUCUAAUCCUUUGUUUUGGACAAUAAUUGAAUCUUUCAAACAGAGUUUGAUUUUUUUUUUUUCUUCUUUAAAUAUACUUGUAUGUUUUUGUGUUGUUGGGUUUACUCUAAACUCAUGUGAUUGGAUGGAGUAAUAAAAUAAAUCUGAUUAUUUUAUUGUUAAAAUUGCAUGAUCCUUCUUGACUGAGCUUAAUAUAAAGUUUAGUUUAUAUAAAGCUAAACUCAAUGAAUACUGAAAGAAGGCUCUGAUCUGCAACAGUGUACUUAGUUUGCUUGAACAAUGUUCUAACAGUGUACUUAGUUUGUAUAAAGCCAAACCCAAUGAAUGCAUUUGGUUACAGGUCUCAAGAGCCACUUCUUUGCAGCACCUCAACAUUGGCGGAACAUUUAUCACCGAUGAAUCUCUAUUUGCCAUUGGAAACAAUUGUCUACAUUUGAAGGUUUUUUGUAAUAUAAACUGGGUUAUUGUAAGUAUUAAAGUAGUUAAUUAAGGAUAGUUUUCUGGUAGUAUGUUGGUCUGAUAAAUUUGCAUUUGUUCAUAUCAUGCAGAUUAUAGUGUUAUUUUAAUUUUUUAGACAAAAAUUGUAAUAUCACAGCAUUUUUUGUGAAAAUAUGUAAUUUAUACAUAUGUUAGUGUUUAUUUAUCAAUUUAAGUGAAAAAAAUGCAAAUUUUU